AACGAACGCUGGCGGCAUGCCUAACACAUGCAAGUCGAACGAUGGUUUCGGGUUUAGUGUCGCACGGGUGCGUAACGCGUGGGAAUCUGCCCUUGGGCUCGGAAUAACAGUGGGAAAUUGCUGCUAAUACCGGGUUAUGUCUUCGGACCAAAGAUUUAUCGCCCAGGGAUGAGCCCGCGUAGGAUUAGCUAGUUGGUGGGGUAAUGGCCUACCAAGGCGACGAUCCUUAGCUGGUCUGAGAGGAUGAUCAGCCACACUGGGACUGAGACACGGCCCAGACUCCUACGGGAGGCAGCAGUGGGGAAUAUUGGACAAUGGGUGCAAGCCUGAUCCAGCAAUGCCGCGUGAGUGAUGAAGGCCUUAGGGUUGUAAAGCUCUUUUACCCGGGAUGAUAAUGACAGUACCGGGAGAAUAAGCUCCGGCUAACUCCGUG
rnacentral:rRNA from 1 species